rnacentral:rRNA from 1 species
CGUGGGUGGGAGUGAGUGGCGAACGGGUGAGUAACACGUGAGUAACCUGCCCCCUUCUUUGGGAUAACGCCCGGAAACGGGUGCUAAUACUGGAUAUUCACUGGCCUUCGCAUGGGGGUUGGUGGAAAGGUUUUUUCUGGUGGGGGGAUGGGCUCGCGGCCUAUCAGCUUGUUGGUGGGGUGAUGGCCUACCAAGGCUUUGACGGGUAGCCGGCCUGAGAGGGUGACCGGUCACAUUGGGACUGAGAUACGGCCCAG